rnacentral:rRNA from 1 species
AUUGAACGCUAGCGGCAUGCCUACACAUGCAAGUCGAACGAGUCGCGGACGGGUGAGUAAUAUCUCGGCAAGUGCCCCGUGGCGGGGGAUACCUACUCGAAACAGUGCUAUACCGCAUACUAUUUGAGCGGCCGAUAUGGGAUUAGCUAGUUGGUGGGGUAACGGCUCACCAAGGCAACGAUCCGUAGCUGGUUUAAGAGGACGACCAGCAACACUGGGGCUGAGACAAGGCCCAAACUCCUACGGGAGGCAGCAGUGGGGAAUUUUGGACAAUGGGCGGAACCCUGAUCCAGCCAUCCCGCGUGUAUGAAGAAGGCUUCGGGUUGUAAAGUACUUUUGGCAGAGAAGCGGUAUCUGCAGAAUAAGCACCGGCUAACUACGUGCCAGCAGCCGCGGUAAUUC